GCCAGCGUGGUGUAGUGGUCUGAGUGUUGGACUAUGACUUUGGAGACCUGGGUUCAAAUCCCUGCUCAGCCA